UACGAAGGGGACUAGCGUUGUUCGGAACCACUGGGCGUAAAGCGCACGUAGGCGGAUGUGUCAGUCAGGGGUGAAAUCCCGGGGCUCAACCUCGGAACUGCCUUUGAUACAGCACGUCUCGAGUCCGGAAGAGGUGGGUGGAAUUCCUAGUGUAGAGGUGAAAUUCGUAGAUAUUAGGAAGAACACCGGUGGCGAAGGCGGCCCACUGGUCCGGUACUGACGCUGAGGUGCGAAAGCGUGGGGAGCAAACAGG
rnacentral:rRNA from 1 species